GACGAAGGAUGCAAGCGUACUCAUUGGGUUUAAAGGGUGCGUAGGCGGCCUGAUAAGUCAGUGGUGAAAUCUCCUCGCUUAACGAGGAAACUGCCAUUGAUACUGUUGGGCUUGAGUACAGAUGCUGUGGGCGGAAUAUGACAUGUAGUGGUGAAAUACAUAGAGAUGUCAUAGAACACCGAUUGCGAAGGCAGCUCACAAAACUGUAACUGACGCUGAGGCACGAAAGUGCGGGGAUCAAACAGGAUUAGAUACCCGAGUAGU
rnacentral:rRNA from 1 species